rnacentral:rRNA from 1 species
GAUGAACGCUGGCGGCGUGCCUAAUACAUGCAAGUCGAGCGAAUGGAUUGAGAGCUUGCUCUUAUGAAGUUAGCGGCGGACGGGUGAGUAACACGUGGGUAACCUGCCCAUAAGACUGGGAUAACUCCGGGAAACCGGGGCUAAUACCGGAUAAUAUUUUGAACUGCAUGGUUCAAAAUUGAAAGGCGGCUUCGGCUGUCACUUAUGGAUGGACCCGCGUCGCAUUAGCUAGUUGGUGAGGUAACGGCUCACCAAGGCAACGAUGCGUAGCCGACCUGGGAGGGGGAUCGGCCACACUGGGACUGAGACACGGCCCAGACUCCUACGGGAGGCAGCAGUAGGGAAUCUUCCGCAAUGGACGAGAGUCUGACGGAGCAACGCCGCGUGAGUGAUGAAGGCUUUCGGGUCGUAAAACUCUGUUGUUAGGGAAGAACAAGUGCUAGUUGAAUAAGCUGGCACCUUGACGGUACCUAACCAGAAAGCCACGGCUAACUACGUGCCAGCCGCCGCAGUAA